rnacentral:rRNA from 1 species
UACAGAGGGUGCGAGCGUUAAUCGGAAUUACUGGGCGUAAAGGGCGCGUAGGCGGUUAUAUGAGUGUGAUGUGAAAGCCCCGGGCUUAACCUGGGAAGUGCAUCGCAAACGAUAUAACUGGAGUAUAUGAGAGGGUGGCGGAAUUUCCGGUGUAGCGGUGAAAUGCGUAGAGAUCGGAAGGAACGUCGAUGGCGAAGGCAGCCACCUGGCAUAAUACUGACGCUGAGGCGCGAAGGCGUGGGGAGCGAACAGG